rnacentral:lncRNA from 1 species
AGAAAGAUAUGAUCUAUAAUCUCUAUAAAUAAAAAUAAUUAUAUAUCAUAUUAUAUUAACUAUGUACCAAAAUAAAAUAACUAUGCAUCAUAUUUAUUUAACUGUGUAAUAUGAUAUCUUAACUUUGUACCACAUUCAUAAAAGUAACGUGCAUAAUUUAUGACUAAAGAAAAAAUGAGCAAUAUUAGUCUGAAACAUAAAUCAG